GCAUCAGUGGUCUAACGGUUAUGAUCCGGUCUUCCCAUGGCCGGGAAAGGGGUUCGACUCCCCUCUGAUGCA